CAAGGUAGCCGAACAGCUCAGAGCCGCUGCUCCGGCUCCCGGCGACCGCGAUGGGACAACGCACGUACCCUGGCCCAGCGGGCNGCGGCGGCGGCCACCCGCCACAGCAUACGGAGCGCCAGGCUGCCCAGCCUCCCCGCGCGCCGCGCUGGGCCUGGCGACGCUGCCGAGGGGCCGCCGCCUCCUCCCCGAGGCCGGGCGCACGUGGGCCGAGGCCGCAGGCUCCCGAGGCGCAGUGCCCGGCCGGAGGCUCUUCAUUCACUCCAGCCAGGGGUUGUCGAUUGUUAUGCCAUAAUACCAGAGGAACUAUGGAGCGGUGCUGCGGUUGAGCUGAAACCACCGACAAAGCUUUGUGGAUUAUCUUGGAAAGAGAUCCUCUACGCCUGGUCAAUCCUUGAGCUGACUGCAAACUUUAUGAGACCUUCAGCUAGGAAUACCCAGCUUAGCCACAUUUCUGGGAUGGGGUUGUAGCUUUUGGAGUGCUUGUCCUGUAAGCAUAGGGCUGCGGAUUCUAUCACCAACAAUCAGUGAACCCAGCAUAGAAGUGGAUGCCUAGAUCUUGGCAUGAAGGAGAAUCAGGAAUUCAAGGACAAAUCUGAGAGCAGCCUGGGUGUGGGUGGAUUCUUUAGGCCACUGAACAUCUGGUUAUUUAUUACAUGGCCUAAGUAACUAUUAGACAAGGUAAAGGAGAAAAUAGGGGGCACACAUGUGAGGGUUACUGUAGCUUUUCUGUAAAUUUCAAAAUAA